rnacentral:lncRNA from 1 species
AGGUUCAAGAAGAUUGGUGACUCCUUUUGAUGCUGAUGCGGUUGAAGACUUAGAUUUGAUGGAAUGGGUUAUCAAAAAAAUCUUUCAUUAAUGGAAUCCCUUCCAUUGAAUUUUCUGAAAGGAUUAAUCAGAUGCUAAUCAAAGAUAUGAGCACAAAAGUGGUAUUAAAAUUACUAGGCCACAACAUAGGAUAUUCGGCUUUGCA